UCUUCACAGUCGCACUGACUGCUCCAAACAUUCCAUAUCUGUGGGUUGCAUUGAAUGUUUAUGUAUGAACGACCUCCACUGCCGACAUGAACUCCACGUAUUAUACGUGUUGCUGCUGUUGCCUAUGUAUGAAGCCACCCUGCAGACAACGGUGAAAGUAAAUCCAUUGGCGUAAAGUCUCUGCUGUAACUGAGUCUGUCUGGUCUGUUGGUAAAUUCACAGGUCCGCGGUACAUUCUAGAACAGUGGGAUCUUGGACUUAUUACCGUAAUUUCCGGACUAUAAGCCUCUACUUUUUUUCCACAUUCGCUUUGAACCCUGUUUUGCUGUAAGGCACUCGGUUCUGAAGAGGAGCAGAAUGUCAAGUGUGCACUAAUCCCACUGGUGGAGGCGUGG